rnacentral:misc_RNA from 1 species
UUUCCGUAGGUGAACCUGCGGAAGGAUCAUUAUUGUAUAACCGAGGUGCGAGGGCUGUCGCUGACCCGAAAGGUCGUGCACGCCCGAGUGUGUCCUCUUGCAUUAUAAUCCAUCUCACCCUUUGUGCAUCACCGCGUGGGCACCCUUCGGGAUCAUCUCGGAGGGGGGCUCGCGUUUUCACACAAACCCCCCUUUUAAAAGUGUAGAAUGACCACAUUUAUGCAAUCAAUACAACUUUCAACAACGGAUCUCUUGGCUCUC